AGUGACAAUUUGCCAACAGCUUGCAUAAAAGACUUCAAGGGAAUGAUGGUGAAUGUCGAUAAUGGUCGGCAAAAACUAUUCUUCCAAUUACUAUGAUUCUGUGGUAAUCACCAUAAAAGGAAACAUUUAUGAGCUGGAGAGGAUCUUUAACUACUUUCACAACUAUUGAUUUGUCAAAUAACAGAUUUGGAGGAGUGAUCCCAGCAAUCAUUGGAGAGUUAAAGUCACUCAACGGGCUUAACCUUUCCCACAACAGAAUUACUGGUGUUAUUCCACAAAACUUUGGUGGUUUGGAAAAUCUAGAAUGGUUAGACCUCUCUUCAAACAUGUUAAUGGGUGAAAUUCCAAAGGCAUUGACCAAUCUUCACUUCCUCUCUUCAUUAAACCUUUCACAAAAUCAGCUGGUGGGGAUGAUACCAACAGUUAAACAGUUCGAAACAUUCCAGAAUGAUUCCUAUGAAGGCAAUCAAGGGCUAUGUGGGUUGCCUUUGUCAAAGUCUUGCCACAAUGAUGAAAAACUGCCAACAGAUUCAGCAACAUUUCAGCAUGAUGAAGAAUUCAGGUUUGGUUGGAAACCCGUAGCUAUAGGAUAUGCAUGUGGAGGGGUAUUUGGAAUACUAUUGGGUUAUAUUGUCUUCUUUCGGAAACCAGAAUGGUCAAUCAGUUUUGUUGAAGGCAUUCUUAAUCAAAGAGUGAGAAAGAAAAGCAACAAAUCUAAUGCAAAUACAAGACGAUACGAUCAAGGUCGUUAAAGGAACUGAGAAUCAGCACACACACUGGGAAUAUAUAGCAGAUGUCAAGUUGAUGUCCCAUAUAGUGAACGCCAUUUCAGUUGAGGUCAUUCUUCUACUUCUUUCUAUUUUUGUCCUUUUGCUAUUGCUGAACGUGAUGUUGAACAUGUUGAAAAUUUUGCAGUGACUAGUUUACUCUUUCAAUCCGUGUGUUGUAAUAAGCAUAUAAGUUAUGUAUUUUUUUACUUGAUCUUGUAUCAUUUGUGUGUUGAAUAGCAGGAAUUUAUCUCCUUAUAUCUUUAGUGUACCAGCUAAAUUGCAAGCAAGAACUUGUAGACUUGUAGUUUCCUUCA